rnacentral:lncRNA from 10 species
UCCUUGAGUUCUGUAAGCUCUGCUCCAGUAAAUUAAUCACACACAAAAAGGGGUUCAGGGGAUCCCUGACUUAUAGACGGUCAGUCAGAAGCACAAAUAAAACAACCUGGGGCUUUUGACUGGUAUCAUAAGUUAGGGGCAGUCACGUGGGACUGAGCCCUCAACCUGUGGCAUCUGACGCUACCUCCAGGUAGGUAACAUCAGAAUUGAAUUGGAUUGGAGGGUACCCAGCUGGUGUCUGCUACAGAACUGACUGCUUGUUGGUGAGGAGAAAUCCCCACAGAGUUGGUCACAGGAGUCUUCAGUGGUGAUUAUUGUUGAGUGAGAGAAUUGAAAAAACACUUUGACUUUUUCAGUUUUUUUCUACUCACAAUAAGGAAGGUAGCAGUACUGGGAGUCCUCCCAAUAAGUAUUUCACCAAGAUAGAAAAGCAUCAAGGAGGCCAGGUGUGGUGGUUCACACCUGUAAUCCCAGCACUUUGGGAGGCCGAGGCAGGUGAAUCACCUGAGGUCGGGAGUUCAAGACCAGCCUGGCCAACAUGGUGAAACCCCAUCUCUACUAAAAAUACAAAAAUUAGCUGGGCAUGGUGGCACGUGCCUGUAAUCCCAGCUACUUGGGAGGCUGAGACAGGAGAAUCAUUUGAACCGGGAGGCGGAGGUUGCAGUGAGCCAAGAUCAUGCCAUUGCACUCUAGCCUUGGUGACAGAGUGAGACUCCAUCUCAAAAAAAAAAAAAAAAAAAGAAAAGCAUCAAGGAUAGCAAUUUUCAAUCUUUCAUAUAUGCUGUGAAUCACCCAGGGAUCUUGUUAAAAUGCAGAUUCUCUGGUUCAGUUGGUCCGAGGUUAGGCCUGAGAAUCAGCAUUUCUAAUAAGCUCUCAGUGAUGCUGAUGCUUCUGGCUUAGGAAUUAUGUUUUGAGUAGCAGGAUUUGAGGACAUAGGAAGUACACAGUAGCUGAGCACAAUGGCAUGUACCUGUAGUCCCAGCUGCUGGAAAAGCUGUGGUGGAAGGAUCACUUGAGCCCAGGAGUUCUGGGCUGUAGUGUGCUGUGCCCAUGAAGUGCCCACACUAAGUUCAGCAUCAAUACAGUGACUUCCUGGGAGUGGGGCAUCACAGGUUGCCUAAGGAGGGGCAAAUGGGCCCAGAUCAGAAAUGAAUCAGGUCAAAACUCCCAUGCUGAUCAGUAGCGGCAUCACACCUGUAAAUAACCACUGCCCUCCAGCGUAGGCAACAUAAUGGCAUAGCCCUGUCUCUAAAAUGAAUAAUAAUAAUAGUAAUAAUAAAAGGAAGGUCACAGUAAAUGCUUGCUAAGGAAUUAGCAAUAGAUAAAUUGCUCAAUGAACAUACAAAUGAAUAAAAUAGGGAGAAGGCACCCAGCUGGUGUCUGCUACUGCUGUAGCAAGAUGAAAAUGCUAUUAUCCGAGGCUAGACUGAGGUUAGAGACUAUGCUUCCAGCCUCCUAUAUUUGACAUUUAUUCCUCCAACUGUUCUUUUUGAUUUUGUUAUCUCUCUCUCAUCAGUGUCAGGGCAAUGAGAAGAUCAAAGUCACUAUAUCCGGUGUACCUCCUGAGCUUCAAUGUCCAUAUCUGUAAAAUGGGAAUAAUACUGUCUAUCUUGCAGUUGUUGCAAAACUAAAUGGCUCGUAAGAGGAAUUUAAGAAAUGGUUGCUACUGGAUAUUUUCAAAUUAAUUAACUUGAAGAGACAACAGAUGCCUCUCCUCCACGUAGAAGGAACAGAGAAAAAAAACUGUUACUUAUAUCUAUGUGCUAGCACUGUGCUAAGUGCCUGAAUAAAUUGUUGAAUAAAUUGUUUUAUAAAUUGUUUUGCUUGUAAAGCCUUUUGAAGUCCAUAGUGUUAUGUCAGUUUCACAGUUGGGGAAACUGAGCCUUAGUAAGAAUAAGAGACUUUUUCAUCUGAGGUCACAAGGCUGAGUAAGUGGCGGGGACCAGUUGUGUCUGAUUCCAAAACCACACUCUUUCCCCACAUCCUGCCUCUCCUCCAUGCCCUAGUAGUGGGCAGCCUGCCCCUUUGAACACAGUCGUCCACAGUCAAAGGCUCUGGGUAUUAGCUGUUAAGGCUCCAGUUCCGACCCACGUCCAGGGCUCAUUCCUUGGCUGUGAAGCAGACAGCCUGUUUACAUGACACAGGUCUGGGAUGGCAAAGUCCUCAGUGCCUGUUUGUCUGUUUUUGCCUUCUCCCCUACUCAGACCUUUGGUGAGUCAGUUAUGGUCAAAUUCAGGGACAGUUUGUGCCGCGCUCACUCCAAUUUAUGGGGAAGGUGUCUUAAGCCCUGAAGUUCAGUGGGUGAAAGUGUCAAAGUAGACAGACAGAUGACCUCUCACCUCCUUGCAGAAGGGAGGUGUUUGUUGAGCAAAGCAUUCAAGAGCAUCUUCUUCCCAAACAGGCCUGAAUCACCAGCCCCAUUUUCCAACCACAGAUGUUUUCUCACUCAUAGCCAGGUUCCAAGUGGGACAGGAUCUGCUGGAUUGAGCUCUAGAAGAGACAGAGAGGAAAGAAAUGUGAAUCUGACAUGUUGUUUUCACCACUAUAAACCCAGCUCCUUGGCCCAUAUCCCAGUCCUGCCUCAGAAUUCCCCCUCCUACGGUAGAGACAGCUAACUGCUUCCCUUCCAUAGUGUAGAACUGUCACUGGGAAGUAGCUGCCAUGUCGGUGAUUACAUUUCCCAGCACCUCUUGCUUCUCGUGAGUGGUCAUGUGACCACUUUACACCAAUGAGCAUAAGCGAUGUGUCUCACUCCUGGUCCAAGGCAUUCCUUCUCCAACCUGUCUUUUCACAUCUUAGGUGAGAAAGAAGCCACAGGAAGAAGGAGGCAGGGUUUCUGACUCACCGUGUGAAAGGUUUCCUGGCAACCAGGAACAUCCAUAUCAACAGCUUGGUGAGUGAAAAAUAGUGUUUUAUUACUUUAAGGUCACUGCAACUUUUGGACUUGUUCAUUAGAGCAGCUACCAUUGCUCUCAUUAGUAUACCCAGGAUAGAGAUAGGAGCAUCGACGCUGACUGGACUCUCGGCACUGGGUGCAGUGCACUGUGCUCAGAACUUCAUCACCAUCAUCUCAUGGAACCUUCAUGUAAUUUUGGCGGUAAUCACCCUCCCCAUUGUAAACUACAGAAACCUUCGCUCCAGAAUGUUAAAUUAUUUGUUCCAGAUCACAUGGUUAGGAAGUGGCAGACAUAAGAUUCAAACAAAUUUCUGUCUGACAACAGUUGCAGGAAGUUCUCCCUUUUACACUCUGGUCUGAGUGACAGAGUGAGACCCUGCCUCCAAAAAAAAUGAAGGAAGGAAGGAAGGAAGGAAAGAGAGAGAGAAAGGAAGAGAGAAAGAGAGGAAGAGAGAAAGAAAGAAAAGAAAAGGAAGGAAGGAAGGCAGAAAUGAAGGAAGGAAGGAAGAAAAAGAGAAAGAGAAAGAAAGGAAGGAAGGAAGAAGGAAAGAAAGGAAAGAAAGAAAGAAAGAAAGAAAGAAAGAAAGAAAGAAAGAAAGAAAGAAAGGAAAAGAAAAGAAAAGAAAGAGAGAGAAAGAAAGACUGCCUAAACCCUCUCACCCAGGUGUGGUACAGACCCCAAAGAAAUAGCAGCAGGUUUGGUUGAAGCACCUUUAGAGUAAUCAAUGUCUUUUUAAAGUGUGUCUUAAACUUGCUGUUGGCAAGUCAUAGUGAAAUAGAGUUCCAAUAAAUUUCCCAACUGGGGUGACUCAAAACUAUUGAAAUUAAAUUUGCAAAGAUGGUCACAUUGCAAGAUGUGAAUUAUGCUGUACUUAGAUCCAGCUCACCGAGUACAACUUUAGAGGGCACCUAUGACACUGGAGACAACCUUGUACUCAAGUGGAAACAUAGUGAGCUUGGAGCAAGAAGCCAGGGCUCUGAGACCUAACACCAUGGCUUACUGACUUUGUUACAUGUAACUAAGACACACUGGUUACAUGUCAAGACACAACAUCUCAGAGAUGCAGCACCCCGG